AGUAUGGGAGUGAGAAUGUUGGCAUGAGUAGCGAGAUGUGGGUGAGAAUCCCACAGGCCGUAAACCCAAGGUUUCCAGGGGAAGGUUCGUCCGCCCUGGGUUAGUCGGGACCUAAGCUGAGGCCGAAAGGCGUAGGUGAUGGACAACAGGUUGAUAUUCCUGUACUACCGAUAACCGUUUGAGAGAAGGGAUGACACAGUAGGAUAAGCUAAGCACACUGUUGGUUAUGUGUGCC
rnacentral:rRNA from 1 species